GAUGAACGCUAGCUACAGGCUUAACACAUGCAAGUCGAGGGGCAGCAUGAAGUUUGCUUGCAAACUUUGAUGGCGACCGGCGCACGGGUGAGUAACGCGUAUCCAACCUGCCCAUGGGUCAGGAAUAACCUUCCGAAAGGGAGCCUAAUACCUGAUGUUGUGAGAAGAAGGCCUCUGAUUUUCACGAAAGACUUCGGUCGCCGAUGGAUGGGGAUGCGUACGAUUAGGCAGCAGGCGGGGUAACGGCCCACCUGGCCAACGAUCGUUAGGGGUUCUGAGAGGAAGGUCCCCCACACUGGCACUGAGACACGGACCAGACUCC
rnacentral:rRNA from 1 species